GAGAGAAUCAUGGUGAAGGAACUCGGCAAAAUGCCCCCGUAACUUCGGAAUAAGGGGGACUCAAGACGUGACGAGAUUUACUCUUCUGAGCGUUGAGAGUCGCAGAGAGCACCCGGAAGCGACUGUUUAUCAAAAACACAGGUCUGUGCCAAGUUGUAGGACGAUGUAUACAGACUGACUCCUGCCCGGUGCUGGAAGGUUAAGGGGAAUUGUUAGCGCAAGCGAAGCAGUGAACUUAAGCCCCAGUAAACGGCGGUGGUAACUAUAACCAUCCUAAGGUAGCGAAAUUCCUUGUCGGGCAAGUUCCGACCUGCACGAAUGGAGUAACGACUUCCGGACUGUCUCCACCAUGAACUCGGUGAAAUUGCAUUACGAGUAAAGAUGCUCGUUACGCGCAGCAGGACGGAAAGACCCCGGGACCUUUACUAUAGUUUGGUAUUGGUGAUCGGGACGACUUGUGUAGGAUAGGUGGGAGACUGUGAAGCAGCCACGCCAGUGGUUGUGGAGUCAUCGUUGAAAUACCACUCUGGACGUUCUGGUUAUCUAACCUCGGCCCAUGAUCUGGGUCAGGGACAGUGCCUGAUGGGUAGUUUGACUGGGGCGGUCGCCUCCUAAAAGGUAACGGAGGCGCCCAAAGGUUCCCUCAGCCUGGUUGGCAAUCAGGUGUUGAGUGUAAGUGCACAAGGGAGCUUGACUGUGAGACAGACAUGUCGAGCAGGGACGAAAGUCGGGACUAGUGAUCUUCUGGUGGCAUGUGGACGCGCCAGAACUCAACGGAUAAAAGGUACCCCGGGGAUAACAGGCUGAUCUUGCCCGAGCGCUCACAGCGACGGCAUGGUUUGGCACCUCGAUGUCGGCUCGUCGCAUCCUGGGGCUGGAGUCGGUCCCAAGGGUUGGGCUGUUCGCCCAUUAAAGCGGCACGCGAGCUGGGUUCAGAACGUCGUGAGACAGUUCGGUCCCUAUCCGCUGCGCGCGUAGGAAUCUUGAGAAGGGCUGUCCUUAGUACGAGAGGACCGGGACGGACUAACCUCUGGUGUGCCAGUUGUUCUGCCAAGGGCACGGCUGGUUGGCUACGUUGGGAAGUGAUAACCGCUGAAAGCAUCUAAGUGGGAAGCACGCUUCAAGAUGAGGGUUCCCGCACAGUAAUGUGGUAAGGCCCCCAGUAGACCACUGGGUUGAUAGGUCGGAUGUGGAAGCAUAGCGAUGUGUGGAGCUGACCGAUACUAAUAGGCCGAGGGCUUGUCUU
rnacentral:rRNA from 1 species